UGGGGAAUUUUGGACAAUGGGCGAAAGCCUGAUCCAGCAAUGCCGCGUGUGUGAAGAAGGCCUUCGGGUUGUAAAGCACUUUUGUCCGGAAAGAAAUCCUUGGCUCUAAUACAGUCGGGGGAUGACGGUACCGGAAGAGUAAGCACCGGCUAACUACGUGCCAGCAGCCGCGGUAAUACGUAGGGUGCAAGCGUUAAUCGGAAUUACUGGGCGUAAAGCGUGCGCAGGCGGUUUGCUAAGACCGAUGUGAAAUCCCCGGGCUCAACCUGGGAACUGCAUUGGUGACUGGCAGGCUAGAGUAUGGCAGAGGGGGGUAGAAUUCCACGUGUAGCAGUGAAAUGCGUAGAGAUGUGGAGGAAUACCGAUGGCGAAGGCAGCCCCCUGGGCCAAUACUGACGCUCAUGCACGAAAAGCGUGGGGAGCAAAACAGGAUUAGAUACCCUGGUAGUCCACGCCCUAAAACGAUGUCAAACUAGUUGUUGGGGAUUCAUUUCCUUAGUAACGUAGCUAACGCGUGAAGUUGACCGCCUGGGGAGUACGGUCGCAAAGAUUAAAAAGCUCAAAAGGAAUUGACGGGGGUCAU
rnacentral:rRNA from 1 species